rnacentral:rRNA from 1 species
UACGAAGGGGGCUAGCGUUGCUCGGAAUCACUGGGCGUAAAGCGCACGUAGGCGGCUUUCUAAGUCAGGGGUGAAAUCCUGGAGCUCAACUCCAGAACUGCCUUUGAUACUGGGAAGCUUGAGUCCGGAAGAGGUGAGUGGAACUGCGAGUGUAGAGGUGAAAUUCGUAGAUAUUCGCAAGAACACCAGUGGCGAAGGCGGCUCACUGGUCCGGUACUGACGCUGAUGCGCGAAAGCCAGGGGAGCAAACGGG